GAGGGUAUGGCUCAGUGGUAGAUCAUGUGCCUAGCAUGCACGGGGUCCUGGGUUCAAUCCCCACUACCUCUA
rnacentral:tRNA from 1 species